UAUAUAUAUAUUUAUUAUUGUAAUAAUUUAAAUAACGAUACUUGGCCUUGGGCAAAUGUGGACUGUGGUUACAUCCCAUCUGCACUGUGGGUUUUCAACAACAAGUUCAUGGCAUUCCAAAAAAGUUGUUAAAUGGAUGAGCGAUAUAUCCAAGAAUUUGUCUUUACCAACAACUUGAAAUUCUUAACAACCUCCAGUAUCUUUAUUUGACAUUGAGUGUAUAAAAUGGAAAGAAAAGUUUGUCCUGUUUGAAGAAAAUAUGAAAAUGGAUUCAUUACUUAAACAAAAAGUUGUAAAACUAAAGGGCUUGAUCACAAAGAUACGAUUAAGUACAUUAUGAAAAGAAUUGCCAUGCGUGAAAUAAAGGGUACCGAAAGUCGAAAAAAGUUAGCUUUUGGGUUAACCGAGAAUUACAAAACAGUAUAUGAAAUAGUGACAUUUAAGUUCCCGAAAAUGACGAAAAAUGAGUUUUAUUAAGCUAUUCAGAACCUACUUAGAAAUGCCCCGAGCAAAAAAGAGAGCUGUAUAAAAAUGACAGCUGUAUACACAAAUUUGUUAAAUGUUUUAUUGAAGAUAUAUAAUCUCUUUUA